UUUCGUGACUAUCACAAACGUGAGCAAUUAGUAAAGGAGUUCCGACAUCAAUAUUUCGCACGACUUUACAAUAAAAAUGCUACCCCAAGCGCAACUGCUCCGGGUAUAAAAGCAACCACAAUUGACAUCCUCUGGCAUAGUUCCGUUCUGGGGACACAAUCGUAAAGCAACAAGCCAAACCCAAUUACCCAAAAAUCAUGGCCAACCUUAGCUUCUUCCUGUUGCUGCUGAUUGCCAUCUUUCUGAUUUGCUCCGAGUGCAUGCAGAGCGUCCACGGAUCAGAUACAUCGGACACAAUAACGAACGGAUUAGUUGACAGAGCAGCAGAGGCUGUAACCGGCAAAUCCUAGUUGCACGAAGCGAUGGCCCGGGUAGUCCGGCGAACCCAAAACGAAAUAUGACAAAGAUGAUCGGUUCCAAUAAAAAAAUAUACAUUUAAUCCUGCACUAAUGAAAAACAAA